UACGUAGGGAGCAAGCGUUGUUCGGAUUUACUGGGCGUAAAGGGCGCGUAGGCGGCAAUUCAAGUCACUUGUGAAAUCUCCGGGCUUAACUCGGAACGGUCAAGUGAUACUGCUUUGCUAGAGUGCGGAAGGGGCAAUCGGAAUUCUCGGUGUAGCGGUGAAAUGCGUAGAUAUCGAGAGGAACACCUGAGGUGAAGACGGGUUGCUGGGCCGACACUGACGCUGACAGCGCGAAAGCCAGGGGAGGCAAAGCGGG
rnacentral:rRNA from 1 species